rnacentral:rRNA from 1 species
GAAGUUGAGUGGCGGACGGGUGAGUAAGCACGUGGGUAACCUGCCUAAAAGAAGGGGAUAACACUUGGAAACAGGUGCUAAUACCGUAUAUCUCUAAGGGUCGCAUGAUCCUUAGAUGAAAGAUGGUUCUGCUAUCGCUUUUAGAUGGACCCGCGGCGUAUUAACUAGUUGGUGGGGUAACGGCCUACCAAGGUGAUGAUACGUAGCCGAACUGAGAGGUUGAUCGGCCACAUUGGGACUGAGACACGGCCCAAACUCCUACGGGAGGCAGCAGUAGGGAAUCUUCCACAAUGGACGCAAGUCUGAUGGAGCAACGCCGCGUGAGUGAGGAAGGUCUUCGGAUCGUAAAACUCUGUUGUUAGAGAAGAACACGAGUGAGAGUAACUGUUCAUUCGAUGACGGUAUCUAACCAGCAAGUCACGGCUAACUACGUGCCAGCAGCCGCGGUAAUACGUAGGUGGCAAGCGUUGUCCGGAUUUAUUGGGCGUAAAGGGAACGCAGGCGGUCCUUUAAGUCUGAUGUGAAAGCCUUCGGCUUAACCGGAGUAGUGCAUUGGAAACUGGAAGACUUGAGUGCAGAAGAGGAGAGUGGAACUCCAUGUGUAGCGGUGAAAUGCGUAGAUAUAUGGAAGAACACCAGUGGCGAAAGCGGCUCUCUGGUCUGUAACUGACGCUGAGGUUCGAAAGCGUGGGUAGCAAACAGGAUUAGAUACCCUGGUAGUCCACGCCGUAAACGAUGAAUGCUAGGUGUUGGAGGGUUU